rnacentral:rRNA from 1 species
ACAGGCUUAGGAGAACGCUGGCGGCGUGCUUAACACAUGCAAGUCGAACGGAGGACUAAGAAGGAAGCUUGCGAAUCCUAGUCCUUAGUGGCGGACGGGUGAGUAACACGUGGAUAACCUGCCUGUAAGACUGGGACAACACCUGGAAACGGGUGCUAAUACCGGGUAAGCUCUUUUUGCCGCAUGGUGAGAAGAGGAGAGGGGAAACCCGCUUACAGAUGGAUCCGCGGCCCAUUAGCUAGUUGGCGGUGUAACGGACCACCAAGGCGACGAUGGGUAGCCGGCCUGAGAGGGUGAUCGGCCACACUGGAACUGAACACGGUCCAGACUCCUACGGGAGGCAGCAGUGGGGAAUCUUCCGCAAUGGGCGAAAGCCUGACGGAACAACGCCGCGUGAAUGAUGAAGGCCUUCGGGUUGUAAAAUUCUGUCUUCAGGGAAAAAAAAAAUGGACGGUACCUUGAAGAAGAAAGCCCCCGGCUAAACUACGUUGCCAGCAGCCGCGGGUAAUACGUAGGGGGCGAGGCGUUUGUCCCGGAAUUCACUGGGGCGUAAAGGGCGCGUAGGCGGUUUUAUUAAAGUCAGAGGGUGAAAGCUCCCGGCUCAACCGGGGGAAUUGCCUUUGAAACUGGAAGAAUUUGAGGGCAGGAGAGGGGAGUGGAAUUUCCCGGUGUAGCGGUGAAAUGCGUAGAUAUCGGGAGGAACACCAGUGGCGAAGGCGACUCUCUGGCCUGUUACUGACGCUGAGGCGCGAAAGCGUGGGGAUCAAACAGGAUUAGAUACCCUGGUAGUCCACGCCGUAACG